UUCAUAAAACCUUCGCCUUUGAGCUUGGUUCUUAAUUUUGUAUAAACUAAGUAAGGGCGACGACGUUAUACUCGAGUCCAGAAUAUUUCCUACCAAUAAACGUUAAUUUUGGACAGGGAGACAUGUUGUGUCAAAAGUACAGUUAAUAAUAAUCCCCCGCCGCCAUAUAUAUAUUGGUAGAAGUUUAUCAAUCCUUCCUCUCUAUUAAGCCUCCCGUAAAUUAACGCGUCCUCGUAUUGAUUAUAAGCCCCCUCUCUAAUUACGCCCUCCCCGAGACAUACAUAAAAUAACCAGACAUAACAGGGGUAUUAAUAUAGAGGAUUCACAAUAGUUUAAAUAAAUUGUCAGCAUCUUCGAAGUACAGUUUAGCCAUUUUUAUGCAACCAUGAAUGAAAUUUUAAUUGGGUUGAUGUGUAUGUGUAUGUGUAUGUAUAUGUUAUAUGUAUAGAGAUAAUAGCAAGAACUAGAGAUAAUAGCAAGAACAAUAAGCAAGUUCCACGUAUACCCACGCUAUUUCUAUGACAAAUUAUUGUCCGAAACUAUUUGACCCUAUUUCCAUGGGAAAUGAGAUUUUAUUUAUUGGAAUUUCUAGAUUUAUACAAGCUAUUAUUGUGCCACACACGUAGAUGUGGGAUUGAUUUUUAUCCCGUUAUUAAUUGUAAGAAACAGGAACAGUGU